UACGUAGGGGGCAAGCGUUGUCCGGAUUUCUUGGGCGUAAAGAGCGUGUAGGCGGCCAGUCAGGUCCGUUGUGAAAACUCGAGGCUCAACCUCGAGACGCCGAUGGAAACCGACUGGCUAGAGUCCGGAAGAGGAGAGUGGAAUUCCCGGUGUAGCGGUGAAAUGCGCAGAUAUCGGGAAGAACACCCGUGGCUAAGGCGGCUCUCUAGUACGGUACUGACGCUGAGACGCGAAAGCGUGGGGAGCGAACAGG
rnacentral:rRNA from 1 species